rnacentral:rRNA from 1 species
AUUGAACGCUGGCGGCAGGCCUAACACAUGCAAGUCGAGCGGAUGACGGGAGCUUGCUCCUUGAUUCAGCGGCGGACGGGUGAGUAAUGCCUAGGAAUCUGCCUGGUAGUGGGGGACAACGUUUCAAGAGGAACGCUAAUACCGCAUACGUCCUACGGGAGAAAGCAGGGGUCCUUCGGGCCUUGCGCUAUCAGAUGAGCCUAGGUCGGAUUAGCUAGUUGGUGGGGUAAUGGCUCACCAAGGCGACGAUCCGUAACUGGUCUGAGAGGAUGAUCAGUCACACUGGAACUGAGACACGGUCCAGACUCCUACGGGAGGCAGCAGUGGGGAAUAUUGGACAAUGGGCGAAAGCCUGAUCCAGCCAUGCCGCGUGUGUGAAGAAGGUCUUCGGAUUGUAAAGCACUUUAAGUUGGGAGGAAGGGCAGUAAGUUAAUACCUUGCUGUUUUGACGUUACCGACAGAAUAAGCACCGGCUAACUCUGUGCCAGCAGCCGCCGUAACAC